GAGUUUGAUCCUGGCUCAGAUUGAACGCUGGCGGCAGGCCUAACACAUGCAAGUCGAGCGGUAACAGAUCCAGCUUGCUGGAUGCUGACGAGCGGCGGACGGGUGAGUAAUGCAUAGGAAUCUGCCCGAUAGUGGGGGAUAACCUGGGGAAACCCAGGCUAAUACCGCAUACGUCCUACGGGAGAAAGGGGGCUCCGGCUCCCGCUAUGGGAUGAGCCUAUGUCGGAUUAGCUAGUUGGUGAGGUAACGGCUCACCAAGGCCACGAUCCGUAGCUGGUCUGAGAGGAUGAUCAGCCACAUCGGGACUGAGACACGGCCCGAACUCCUACGGGAGGCAGCAGUGGGGAAUAUUGGACAAUGGGGGAAACCCUGAUCCAGCCAUGCCGCGUGUGUGAAGAAGGCCCUCGGGUUGUAAAGCACUUUCAGCGAGGAAGAACGCCUAGCGGUUAAUACCCGCUAGGAAAGACAUCACUCGCAGAAGAAGCACCGGCUAACUCCGUGCCAGCAGCCGCGGUAAUACGGAGGGUGCAAGCGUUAAUCGGAAUUACUGGGCGUAAAGCGCGCGUAGGUGGCUUGAUAAGCCGGUUGUGAAAGCCCCGGGCUCAACCUGGGAACGGCAUCCGGAACUGUCAAGCUAGAGUGCAGGAGAGGAAGGUAGAAUUCCCGGUGUAGCGGUGAAAUGCGUAGAGAUCGGGAGGCCGUAAACGAUGUCGACCAGCCGUUGGGUGCCUAGCGCACUUUGUGGCGAAGUUAACGCGAUAAGUCGACCGCCUGGGGAGUACGGCCGCAAGGUUAAAACUCAAAUGAAUUGACGGGGGCCCGCACAAGCGGUGGAGCAUGUGGUUUAAUUCGAUGCAACGCGAAGAACCUUACCUACUCUUGACAUCCUGCGAAUUUGGUAGAGAUACCUUAGUGCCUUCGGGAGCGCAGAGACAGGUGCUGCAUGGCUGUCGUCAGCUCGUGUUGUGAAAUGUUGGGUUAAGUCCCGUAACGAGCGCAACCCUUGUCCUUAUUUGCCAGCGCGUAAUGGCGGGAACUCUAAGGAGACUGCCGGUGACAAACCGGAGGAAGGUGGGGACGACGUCAAGUCAUCAUGGCCCUUACGAGUAGGGCUACACACGUGCUACAAUGGUCGGUACAAAGGGUUGCCAACUCGCGAGAGUGAGCCAAUCCCGAAAAGCCGAUCUCAGUCCGGAUCGGAGUCUGCAACUCGACUCCGUGAAGUCGGAAUCGCUAGUAAUCGUGGAUCAGAAUGCCACGGUGAAUACGUUCCCGGGCCUUGUACACACCGCCCGUCACACCAUGGGAGUGGACUGCACCAGAAGUGGUUAGCCUAACGCAAGAGGGCGAUCACCACGGUGUGGUUCAUGACUGGGGUGAAGUCGUAACAAGGUAGCCGUAGGGGAACCUGCGGCUGGAUCAC
rnacentral:rRNA from 1 species